UUUUUUUAUUAGUACGGAGUUCACUCUGCACAGAAUAAUUGAAAAAAACGUUCACGUCAAUUUAAUUCAUACGGAUCUAACGAGUGGGAGAGAAUCUAAAUAUACCAAAGAGCUGCGACAACGGAGUGAAGACAACGAAUCCAUGGUCACUAUACGCCAACGCUGAAUUUACGUCAGCGAAGACGAGUGCUGGUUGCUAAAUCUUUGAGAUUUAACCAUCGAAAAUAAGAAAUCGGUGUAAUUGCCGACUAUUUUCCCUGACUGUUCUUUAAAACCUGCAAUUUAAAGAACGAUAAUAAUGAUGGUAAUGAUGAUGAUGAUGAUGAUGAUGAUUUUAAGGAGAUUAAAUAUAUAUACUCACGCGGCAUCCCCGUGGAGAAGGCGCGAAAGGCGCAAAAGAUUCCCUUUCUCUUUGGGAUUGUGAAAUCAAACGUUUAUUCUAUGGCUCUCAAGCUUAGCAUCAGGCAUCACCACUCGAUUUAUUAUCUAUUUUCUAUAUAGGUUUUCAAGUUUUAUAAACUCAACGAUUGCACUCGACAAAGUGCAGAUAUUUCACAUGACCUUCACCAAUUAUCCGGGGGUUUUUCUCAUGUAACCACCUCAUGAGCCGAAUGAAUAACACCCCGUAUAAAUACUUGCUUUUUAAAUGUCUUCAGAAGCUAACAUUUAACCAGUAAAGGAAAUAUCUGAUCAUACAUUUGAACUAUUACUUAAAUAGAUUAAUUAUUUGAAGAUACUAUUUCCUUGAAACUUGCAGUGAUGUUCUAUAAGGAAAUAUCAAUUUCCGUUUUACAUUUGUAAAAAGGUAUUUACAUCCAUGUACAUAAAUAAUAAAAUAAGGCAACUUGAUAUGAUGGGAAAGCAAUUAUUGUCGUGAAUGUCUUAUGACGUAAGACACUUCUAGAUCAUUGGUAUUGAUGUAUCGAUGGAAAAGCCGUGAUUAUACAAAGGCUUCGUAAACGACAAGCUUAGAUGUAUUGAAUAUUAUGUAUUAGUACAUAGUACAUCUACAUAUAUUGUAUUAUAGUAGUGAGAUCAUGGAUAUACAGACUCAAGACACAAUACAUACGGAUAAAGGUGGUAAAUAUAUAUUAUCCUGUACAAGUACAUACAUAUAAUACAAAGAAAAGGUAAGA